rnacentral:rRNA from 1 species
UACGGAGGGUGCAAGCGUUAUCCGGAAUUACUGGGUUUAAAGGGUGCGUAGGCGGCUUGAUAAGUCAGGGGUGAAAUCGUAUCGCUUAACGAUAGAAUUGCCUUUGAUACUGUAAAGCUUGAAAGGGGUUGAGGUCAGCAGAAUGUGGCAUGUAGCGGUGAAAUGCAUAGAUAUGCCAUAGAACACCGAUUGCGAAGGCAGCUGGCGGGGCCUACUUUGACGCUGAGGCACGAAAGCGUGGGGAGCGAACAGG